UAAGCGGAGGAAAAGAAACUAACUAGGAUUCCCUUAGUAACGGCGAGUGAACCGGGAAAAGCUCAAAUUUGUAAUCUGGCUGUCUUCGAUAGUCCGAGUUGUAAUCUAUAGACGUGUUUUCCGUGCUGGACCGUAUCUAAGUCCCUUGGAACAGGGUAUCAAAGAGGGUGACAAUCCCGUGCUUGAUACGACCACCAGUGCUCUGUGAUACACGCUCUACGAGUCGAGUUGUUUGGGAAUGCAGCUCAAAAUGGGUGGUAAAUUCCAUCUAAAGCUAAAUAUUGGCGAGAGACCGAUAGCGAACAAGUACCGUGAGGGAAAGAUGAAAAGCACUUUGGAAAGAGAGUUAAACAGUACGUGAAAUUGUUGAAAGGGAAACGAUUGAAAUCAGUCGUGUUCUUUGGAUUCAGCUAGUUCUUCUAGUCUACUUCCAUUGAACGGGUCAACAUCAGUUUUGUCCGGUGGAUAAAGAUAGUAGGAAUGUAGCUCCCCCGGGAGUGUUAUAGACUAUUAUUGCAUACACUGGGUGAGACUGAGGACUGCAGCUCGCCUUUUGGCCGGUCUUCGGACACGUUCGAGCUUAGGAUGUUGACAUAAUGGCUUUAAACGACCCGUCUUGAAACACG
rnacentral:rRNA from 2 species